GAUGUGUAGGAUAGGUGGGAGGCUUUGAAGUGUGGACGCCAGUCUGCAUGGAGCCGACCUUGAAAUACCACCCUUUAAUGUUUGAUGUUCUAACGUUGACCCGUAAUCCGGGUUGCGGACAGUGUCUGGUGGGUAGUUUGACUGGGGCGGUCUCCUCCUAAAGAGUAACGGAGGAGCACGAAGGUUGGCUAAUCCUGGUCGGACAUCAGGAGGUUAGUGCAAUGGCAUAAGCCAGCUUGACUGCGAGCGUGACGGCGCGAGCAGGUGCGAAAGCAGGUCAUAGUGAUCCGGUGGUUCUGAAUGGAAGGGCCAUCGCUCAACGGAUAAAAGGUACUCCGGGGAUAACAGGCUGAUACCGCCCAAGAGUUCAUAUCGACGGCGGUGUUUGGCACCUCGAUGUCGGCUCAUCACAUCCUGGGGCUGAAGUAGGUCCCAAGGGUAUGGCUGUUCGCCAUUUAAAGUGGUACGCGAGCUGGGUUUAGAACGUCGUGAGACAGUUCGGUCCCUA
rnacentral:rRNA from 1 species